AGAAUCAACGCUGGCGGCGUGCCUAACACAUGCAAGUCGAACGCGAAAGUGGAGCAAUCCAUGAGUAGAGUGGCAAACGGGUGAGUAACGCGUGGGCGACCUACCUUCGAGUGGGGGAUAACCUUCCGAAAGGAGGGCUAAUACCGCAUGACAUCCCGUGUUUGGAUACACGGACAUCAAAGCUGGGGAUCGUAAGACCUGGCGCUUGAAGAGGGGCCCGCGUCCGAUUAGCUAGUUGGUGAGGUAACGGCUCACCAAGGCUCCGAUCGGUA
rnacentral:rRNA from 1 species